rnacentral:rRNA from 1 species
UAGGGAAUCUUCGGCAAUGGACGGAAGUCUGACCGAGCAACGCCGCGUGAGUGAAGAAGGUUUUCGGAUCGUAAAGCUCUGUUGUUAGAGAAGAACGUUGGUAGGAGUGGAAAAUCUACCAAGUGACGGUAACUAACCAGAAAGGGACGGCUAACUACGUGCCAGCAGCCGCGGUAAUACGUAGGUCCCGAGCGUUGUCCGGAUUUAUUGGGCGUAAAGCGAGCGCAGGCGGUUCUUUAAGUCUGAAGUUAAAGGCAGUGGCUUAACCAUUGUACGCUUUGGAAACUGGCGGACUUGAGUACAGAAGGGGAGAGUGGAAUUCCAUGUGUAGCGGUGAAAUGCGUAGAUAUAUGGAGGAACACCGGUGGCGAAAGCGGCUCUCUGGUCUGUAACUGACGCUGAGGCUCGAAAGCGUGGGGAGCAAACAGG